rnacentral:ribozyme from 11 species
CAAGUACUUGAAGAUUGCUUGUUUGUCCUUCGGGCUUGGGGAGUUUUUUUUUUUUUUUUUUUUUUUUUUUUUUUUU